GGUGAGUAACACGUGAGCAAUCUGCCCCUGACUCUGGGAUAACAGUUGGAAACAGCUGCUAAUACCGGAUACGAGACGUGACCGCAUGGUCGACGUUUGGAAAGAAUUUCGGUCAGGGAUGAGCUCGCGGCCUAUCAGCUUGUUGGUGAGGUAAUGGCUCACCAAGGCGUCGACGGGUAGCCGGCCUGAGAGGGUGACCGGCCACACUGGGACUGAGACACGGCCCAGACUCCUACGGGAGGCAGCAGUGGGGAAUAUUGCACAAUGGGCGAAAGCCUGAUGCAGCAACGCCGCGUGAGGGACGACGGCCUUCGGGUUGUAAACCUCUUUUAGCAGGGAAGAAGCGAAAGUGACGGUACCUGCAGAAAAAGCGCCGGCUAACUACGUGCCAGCAGCCGCGGUAAUACGUAGGGCGCAAGCGUUAUCCGGAAUUAUUGGGCGUAAAGAGCUCGUAGGCGGUUUGUCGCGUCUGCUGUGAAAACUGGAGGCUCAACCUCCAGCCUGCAGUGGGUACGGGCAGACUAGAGUGCGGUAGGGGAGAUUGGAAUUCCUGGUGUAGCGGUGGAAUGCGCAGAUAUCAGGAGGAACACCGAUGGCGAAGGCAGAUCUCUGGGCCGUAACUGACGCUGAGGAGCGAAAGGGUGGGGAGCAAACAGGCUUAGAUACCCUGGUAGUCCACCCCGUAAACGUUGGGAACUAGUUGUGGGGUCCAUUCCACGGAUUCCGUGACG
rnacentral:rRNA from 1 species